GGACAAUGGAAUCAUCACCACAAACAGUGAGCUUCGGAAAAUCUAUUAUAGUACCGAGUGUUCAAAAGCUGGCCGAAGAAUCUCUGCUCACCAUCCCACCUCGCUAUGUAAGAUCUGAUCAGGACCCUCCAACUAUUUCCGAUGAAAGCUCGUUGCUUUCCUCGGUUCCAGUCAUAGAUCUUGAAAAAUUGGCCUUUGGAGAUUCCAUGGAUUCUGAGUUGGAGAGCUUGCAUUCUGCUUGCAGAGAAUGGGGUUUCUUCCAGGUAACUUAAUAGGCUCUUUCUCUGGAUCUUGCUACUGCUAUAAUAAAAUAACAGCAAUUCAAGAGCUUGGAAACUAUUAUUUGACUGCCUUGCCUGUGAUUCUACCAUUAGUUGAUUAAAUUUUGAUAAGAUCAGGUAGUGAACCAUGGAUUGAGCACUGAUUUUCUGGAGGAAGUCAAGUUGGAAAUCGAGAGUUUCUUCGGACUUCCUUACGAACAGAAGAAGCAGCUGUGGCAAAAGCCAGACAACCAAGAAGGUUUCGGACAGCUUUUUGUGGUAUCAGAGGAGCAGAAGCUAGACUGGUCAGACAUGUUUGGCAUUACUACCCUGCCUUUCAAUCUCAGGAACAACGACCUCUUUGACAAACUCCCUCCAAAGCUUAGGUUUAUUCAAUUGUCGAUUUAUAUCACUAAAUAUCUACGUCCCCUAAAAUUUCCUUUACUCGGAAAGUUUCGUUUUUAUAUGUUUGCUGCAGAGGUAUUCUGGAAACUUAUGCAAGUGAAAUGAAGAAGCUAGCCUUGGUAAUUCUGGGUCACAUGGCAAAAGCUUUAAAUAUGAAAGCUGAGGAGAUGAGUGAGCUAUUCAAUGAUGGUGUUCAAUCAAUGAGGAUGAAUUACUAUCCUCCAUGUCCCGAACCAGAGAAGGCCAUUGGUUUAACUCCUCAUUCGGAUGCUGAUGCUUUAACCAUUGUGUUUCAGCUCAAUGAAACUGAAGGACUGCAAAUCCGGAAGGAAGGGAGAUGGGUUCCUGUUAAACCACUUCCAAAUGCUUUCAUUGUCAACAUUGGAGACAUCAUGGAGGUAUUAUUUAUCAGAAACUGGCUUCAAACAACGUUGUCUUCCAAUUCCUUCCUGAUUGUGUAUUCUUGAUUCUAUGCAGAUUGUGAGCAAUGGGAUUUAUCGAAGCAUUGAGCAUAGGGCAACGGUGAAUUCAACAAGAAAGAGGCUUUCAAUUGCAACGUUCUAUUGUUCAAAUCUAGGAUCAGUGCUAGGCCCUGCAGCUAGCCUCACUGGCCCUCAGAAUCCAGCAAUCUUUAAGCAAGUCCCACUGGAGAAGUACUUGAAGGAAUUUUUUGCCCGAAAAGUGUAUGGCAAGUCAUAUCUUGAAGCCAUGAGAAUAGAAGACGGGGAAAACAACAUCUGAAUGUACUCAUACAAUAAACCUGAGUUUAGCUACUGUAGUGCAAAUGCAAGUCCAUAUAAUGAAUUUUAUUUUCUGCAAUGAAAAUGGGUAUUGGCUGAUUUAUUACAUCAACAUCGAAUUUUGAUUGGGCUCCCGGUUUCCCAUUUGCAUGGGCACGUACGUGCAGUAAGCACAAAACCGCCAUCGUUAGAUGACCAGGCUCUUUUAUCACCGGUUACAUGGGAUAAGAAUAGAGAAUACGACAAUCACAGUCUCAAGUAGCCGCCUUUGUCCUCCAUGGUUUUCAAAGAUUCUCCCAUGAUUAGCGACAAAUUAGAGCGACUCACCAAAAACCACUAAGUCAAGUGUGAAUGUACUAACAUUUCAACUAUAAUUAUUAAAAAAAGUUUAAAACAUAAUUAUUAAAAUGGAUAAAGUUGAAAAUUUGUUUGUCAUUUUUUCUAAAUUUAAUAUUAGAUACCUAAUUUUUUUGACCAGUGCAAGUAACAUUGCAUUUGAAAUAUCCACUUGGCUGCAACAAGAUAAGAUCAAAUGAAUAAAAUUAAGUCAUAGCAUAACAUAAAAGACUAAGUCCCACACAAAAAUACAAUUCAAUCUAAAUCCAAGAAGAAGUUUGGAAAACUCUUAGCUGACAUUAUUUGCCUACUUUACAGAGUUUCAGCGCUGAUUGCCUCACCACUGCCAACCUGACCGUAGACUAAAAUGGCAAGCCCCGCUACCAGUGACGAAAGCAAGCAGAAAUUUAAAUUAGGGAUUUAAUUUUAUUUUUUCCGAUUACGACUUCAAUUUUAUUUAAUUUAUAAAAAAUAUUUAUUUAUAUGUAUAAAAUUUUUAAAUUAAAAUUUAAUUUCAAGUAGAGAAAUAAAAAAUAUUACAUGUAUAAAAUUUUAUAAAUUAAAUUAAUUUACUCACAAUUAAAUAUUGAAUAUAAACUUUUAAAAUAUUUUAAUACGAGUAAUCUAAACUAUUAUUAUUAAAAAAAAAUGUUAUGUGAUUUUAAUAUUUUAAUUUAUAUUUAAAAUUUUUUAAAUUUAAAAUAUAACGAUAAACUAUUAAAAUUAAUUUUCAAUAUUAAACAAUAAUAUUAAUUAUGCUCUAAAUUUUUAUAAAAUAAUAAAAUUAUUAUCGUUUAAUUUUAUCAAUUUAUAAAAACUUAAAAUACAAUUAAAAAAUUUAAAGCGUAAUUAAUAAUAUAUUUAAUUAAUUUAAUAUUUUUUUAUUGUAUUUAAUUAUCUAUAAUUUCAAGUGUUCAAUAAAAAUAAUAAGUAAAUAACCUACUUUAAAAAAUUAAAUAAUAAAGUUAAAAUCUCAAAGAUUAAACCUAAUUUUUUAAAUAAAAAUAAAUAAAUAAGAAAAGGAACAUAAAGUAGGAUGACUGUUUUAAAAUUGUAUUAGUAUUGAGAUUUAUUUAUAAAAGAAUUAUUAUUAGAUUUCUGAAAUUUAAAAAAUUUUACUAAUUUUUAUUUAUAUAAAAAUUAUUCAAUUAAAAAGUUUUUAUAUUUUAUAAAAUUAAAUUAUUUAGUCUAUUUGUUAAAGUAACCGUUAUCGACUUAUUUUACAUUUGAUCAAAGAGAAUAAAUAAUAUAAAUAUUUAAAUGUAUAGAUACUAAAUGAUAUAUAUAAUUAAAAUUACAUUAAUUAAAUAAUAUAAAUAUUUUUAAUAAAUUUAUAAAAAUUUAAAAAUUUAUUUUAUAAAAUGAAAAAAUAUUUUAAUGAAUAAUUUUCAAUUAAGAUAAAUUAAUAAAUUAUUUUAAAAGUUUAGGGACUGAAUGAUAAUUUUUUUUCAAUUAAUGAAAAUUACAUAAAUACUCUAUUAAAUUUUUAAAAAUUCAGGAGGACCCAUAGCCGCUAAACCCCUGUUUGAGUCCAUCAUUGGCCACCACCGUAACGACCACCACCACAUAAAAGAAAAUCAAGCAAACAAGUCAACCUAAAACGAAGCAUCAAUCCAAAAGAUGGCAAACCACAUAAACCGCUUGAGCCUCUAUCUCUAUAGCCAACCACUGUUGAAAAUAAAACACAAAAAAAAAAAAAAAAGAAAUCAAAACCAUAUGAAUAUAUAUAUCAUUGUUUAUUUUUUACCGUUAUUAUUUUUCCUAAUAUUAGAUACGUUAUAAAAUUAUAUUUUGAUUCAAAUUAAAUAAACUAAUAAAAAAAUAUUAAUAAUGGUAAAAAGUAUAAGCCUUAUUCAUUUUUAUUAUGAAAAAUAUUCAAUUUUGUUGUAUAAUUAAUUAUGAGAAAUAUUCAAUCUCAUUGUAUAAUUAAUUAUGAAAAAUAUUCAAUCUCGUUGUGUAGCACUCACCUAUUUUUACUGAAACAUAUUAUAAAAAAUUUAAAUUAUAUAUAAUAAAUAAUAUAAAAUUAUUAAAUAAUUUAAAUUAAUUAUUUUAAAUUAAAUGAAAAAUAAAUUUAAAAAUUAUUUGAAUAACGCACUCCAAGGUUUAGUCUGGUGGAAAGUGCAUCCUGUAGAUCUUGAAAGGUCUAAGAUUCGACUCCCCCAACCCCUAUUUUAAAAAAAAAAAAAUUAUUUGAAUAAAAUUAAAUUAGAACGUUUCAACUCGUUUGCUCUUUCUUUAAAUUCACAAUAAUAAAUAAUUAUUAUUAAAAUUAAAAAAAUAUUAAUUUCGCUAAAAUUGAGAGCUAUAUAUAAUUUUUCUGAGAAAAUUUUUUGAAAUAGACAUGGUGUAAACUCCGAUGAAAUCAAAGCCGCAAUUUGUCAUCAUCUGUAUCAUAGUAGCUAUUUGAAUCUCAGCUUUAAGGCUCCCUCUUAAGUCCUCUUCUUCCAGAAAACUGGUCCUGCGAAGGACAUUUGAAUCAUCACUACACAAUGAGCUUCGGAAAAUCUAUUAUAGUACCUAGUGUUCAAAAGCUGGCCGAAGAAUCUCUGCUCACCAUCCCACCUCGCUAUGUAAGAUCUGAUCAAGAUCCUCCAACUAUUUCCGAUGAAAGCUCGUUGCUCUCCUCGGUUCCUGUCAUAGAUCUUGAAAGAUUGGCUUUUGG
rnacentral:lncRNA from 1 species